UUAAGAGUGCCAGACAAAAUGGGUUUGAUUUAGGAUCAAAUAAUGGCUGCUUAUGCCCUCUUGCG
rnacentral:tRNA from 1 species